AAGUCGUAACAAGGUUUCCGUAGGUGAACCUGCGGAAGGAUCAUUAACACGUAUCCAAACGUUAACCCCCCUGUGAACCUUUAGUGUGCUCGUACCUUUGUCAGAGCGUGGCAAUCCCUAGUAAAUCAUCGCCGAACAGUUUUCGAUUUAGGGACUUCCACAAAGAGUGUGCUCGUAGCGCGAGGCAAGUGGCCUGGCAUUCCCAAGCAGUUGGUGUCUGAAAGUGUCACUGGCUGUGUAAGGAUGGCGCAGUCACGAUCGUUGGAGGCCGACACGGCCGACGAACCGGGUCACCGGGCUCACGCCCCUUAAUCACAACUUAAUGCAUGUCAGCUUAAUGCAUGUCAGACGCGCCUGCGUUUAAUUGUGCGGCGACCAUAAAACUCGAACAGUUCUC
rnacentral:misc_RNA from 1 species